UUCUCCUGGAAACGGGUGGUAAUGCCGGAUGCUCCAGUUGAUCGCAUGGUGUUUUGGGAAAGCCUUUGCGGCAUGGGAUGGGGUCGCGUCCUAUCAGCUUGAUGGCGGGGUAACGGCCCACCAUGGCUUCGACGGGUAGCCGGCCUGAGAGGGCGACCGGCCACAUUGGGACUGAGAUACGGCCCAGACUCCUACGGGAGGCAGCAGUGGGGAAUAUUGCACAAUGGGCGCAAGCCUGAUGCAGCGACGCCGCGUGAGGGAUGGAGGCCUUCGGGUUGUAAACCUCUUUUGUUAGGGAGCAAGGCAUUUUGUGUUGAGUGUACCUUUCGAAUAAGCACCGGCUAACUACGUGCCAGCAGCCGCGGUAAUACGUAGGGUGCAAGCGUUAUCCGGAAUUAUUGGGCGUAAAGGGCUCGUAGGCGGUUCGUCGCGUCCGGUGUGAAAGUCCAUCGCUUAACGGUGGAUCCGCGCCGGGUACGGGCGGGCUUGAGUGCGGUAGGGGAGACUGGAAUUCCCGGUGUAACGGUGGAAUGUGUAGAUAUCGGGAAAGAACACCAAAC
rnacentral:rRNA from 1 species